ACCGGUUCUUUCCAAAGAGAACUGGCAGACCGCUCAGGAAUAAGCCAGUCGUGUUUGAGCCGUGCAAUGCCACCUGUAUGGGACGGCAUCAUCCGCUUGUCUACCAGGUAUAUAACGUUCCCAUACGAUGCAGGUGACCAGCCAAACAUCAAAGCGCAAUUUGCAGCGAUAGCCGGUUUUCCUAAUGUAAUCGGAGCGAUCGACUGCACACAUAUUGCUAUAAAGGCGCCAUCUGAAGACGAAUUUGCAUAUGUGAAUCGGAAACAUUUCCAUUCAAUAAAUGUGCAGAUUAUAUGUGAUGCACAAAUGCGCCUAACAAAUAUUGUGGCAAGGUGGCCUGGGUCAACCCAUGAUUCAUAUAUCCUUACAAACAGCAUGGUUGGGAUGAGACUCCAAGCUGGCAGGGUGCGCGAUGGGUGGCUACUUGGAGACAGUGGUUAUCCACUAAAGACGUGGCUGUUAACCCCCUCACCAACCCACAAACUGACCGAGAGCGCAGAUACAAUGAUGCCCAUUCCCGCACUCGGUCAGUUGUGGAGCGGGCGAUUGGGCAGCUGAAAUGUCGGUGGCGCUGCCUUGACAGGACCGGGGGGAUGCUGUUAUACCGCCCUGACAAGGUUUGCCGCAUCAUACUGGCCUGUGGAGUGCUGCACAAUGUCGCGCACAGGCAUGGCAUACCCCUUGGUGAGGUGGGGGCACCGCCAGAUGACCCUGACCCAGGACCAGUAUAUGUGCAGCACAAUCAACAAGCCAUUCAGGCCCGUCAACGUGUAAUUGCGACAAUAUAAAUGGUACUCAGACACAAAGUUCAUUUUUUGACCAAUUCUUUUAAUGAAUGGCUUAUUUCUGUGAGUGCGUCAGUGACAUUUUUAAGGUGACUGUUCAUUUCUUCAAUGGCCCUAACAAUUUGUUGUUGUGACUCCAGAACAGCAUGCGUCAAGACACGGCCAGAUGGACGGGCUUCAGCACUGGGGGGAACAUUAGAGACACGGGAGACGCUGGACUGAAUGGGCUCUGGCUGCUCAGGUGGUGCGGACACUGAGUGCGUGCCAGUGGACGUUCCUGCGGUUCCUAAGUCCAAUUAAACACAGGCACAUCUUAACAGUAAUUUGAGUCUGUUCCUUAUUAAUGGGUACACGCAUUUGCAAUAAAAGCAGUGGAUACGUGAAA